CAGUAGCCACGGGAAAACGAAGGGGGCUAGCGUUAUCCGGAUUCACUGGGUUUAAAGGGUGCGUAGGCGGAUCUGUAAGUCAGUGGUGAAAUCUCCAGGCUUAACCUGGAAACUGCCGUUGAUACUAUAGGUCUUGAAUUUUGUGGAGGUUAGCGGAAUAUGUCAUGUAGCGGUGAAAUGCAUAGAUAUGACAUAGAACACCAAUUGCGAAGGCAGCUGGCUACACAACUAUUGACGCUGAGGCACGAAAGCGUGGGGAUCAAACAGGAUUAGAUACCCCCGUAGUCCCUGUCUCUUAUAC
rnacentral:rRNA from 1 species